rnacentral:misc_RNA from 1 species
ACAAAAUAAUUAUUUAAAAAUUUGAGGUGUUACAUUCAUAAUUUGGGUAUUUGUGUGAGAAUUAGGUCUAAAUGUGUAAGAGAGCUAAUGGCCCCAUUUGGGUGAGAGAAACGUGAGACUGGUCCAUUAUAUUUGGGUAAGAAUUGAGAUUGGAUCCAUCAUAUUUAAGAGAGUUAAUGGGUCCACUAUGUUUGAGUAGUGAGAUUAUGAGAUGGGUUCAUUAUAUUUAUAGAGUUGAUGG